AUUGAACGCUGGCGGCAGGCUUAACACAUGCAAGUCGAACGAGUGGCGGACGGGUGAGUAAUGCUUGGGAAUCUAGCUUAUGGAGGGGGCUAACUACGGGAAACUGUAGCUACUACCGCGUACCAUAGGCUGAGCCCAAGUGGGAUUAGGUAGUUGGUGAGGUAAAGGCUCACAAAGCCGACGAUCCCUAGCUGGUCUGAGAGGCUGACCAGCAACACGGGGACUGAGACACGGCCCAGACUCCUACGGGAGGCAGCAGUGGGGAAUAUUGCGCAAUGGGGGCAACCUGACGCAGCCAUGCCGCGUGAAUGAAGAAGGCCUUCGGGUUGUAAAGUUCUUUCGGUAGCGAGGCGUUAACUACAGAGGAAGCACCGGCUAACUCCGUGCCAGCAGCCGCGGUAAUAC
rnacentral:rRNA from 1 species